rnacentral:lncRNA from 1 species
UACAAAAACCUCAGAUUUUAUUUGUUUUCUGAUCUCAUCUGAAAAGGGUUAUAUAACUAAAAUAGCAUUUGUUAGUAUUUUUAACUGAUCUCCUGCAGUAACAUUUGUAAAUCGACAACAAAAUCAAAUAUCUCAAAAAUUACAGAAGAUAGAAUCAUUAAAAACCAAAGAUUAGUAAUGAAUUCUUACACAGAAAGAAGAGAAAUUUGCAGUUGCUUUUUUGGAAGCUUUACGAAGAAGAAGUAUUGAAACAAUUAUGGAAAUGGAUGGGAAGUAUAGAGAUGGUUAUAGCAACUUUUGGGGUUGGGAAUUAGAACGAUUCGCUUAGUGUGUACUGCCCAUUUUUCUGCAACUUCCCCAAAUUCGCAAAUUUUGUAACCUCUUUCUAUUUUCAAAUAUCAUGUUUCUUUCAAGUUUUUGGGAGCCAAAAGCACUUUUUUAUAAAUAGAAACUUUUACCAUAUGUGGGAAAUAUAAAUUUUUAAAAACAGUAAUAGAAGCAGUUUUUCU